AAAUGAAUAGACGGGGGAGCGCACAACCGGUGGAGCAUGUGGUUUAAUUCGAUACAAAGCGAAAAACCUUACCCAGAUUUGACAUGUACCUGCACGGUCUAGGAAACUAGACUUUCUUCGAGAGUGGUACACAGGUGAUGCAUGGCUGUCGUCAGCUCGUGUCGUGAGACGUCCACUUAAGUGUGGUAACGAGCGCAACCCUUGUCGUAUGUUACACGUAUCAUACGAGACUGCCCGUGCAGUGCACGGGAGGAAGGAGAGGACGAUGUCAAGUCAGCAUGUCCCUUACAUCUGGGGCUACACACAUCCUACAAUGGAACUGACAACGGGUAGCGACGGGGUAACCCUGAGCUAAUCCUCUAAACAGUUUCUCAGUUCGGAUUGAAGGCUGAAAUUCGCCUUCAUGAAGUCGGAAUCGGUAGUAAUCGCAAAUCAGCAGGUUGCGGUGAAUACGUUCUCGCUCCUUGUACACACCGCCCGU
rnacentral:rRNA from 1 species